rnacentral:misc_RNA from 1 species
GCACCGUGAAACUUGUUUGAAUGAAGGCUGAGGAUCAUUAUAUUGGGAAGCCAUUUUCCCAUCCAUGUUGGUAUAUUUCCAUCAAAGUCAUUCUCUGAGAAAUCAAUUGACCCCAACUNAAUUGACCCCAACUUAGAACAAUUUCUCAGGGACAGAGGUAGCUUUCCAGAGAGAUUGUUUUUCCGUAGGUUCAACGACUGAAGGGAACUCAAAGUUCCCACUGAGUCUGGAAUAUUACCCGAAAAUU